AGUUACUGAAGGUAGCUUUUUUUAAGCCAAAAGAUCUUCAGCAAUUAUUAAAUAUCAUUCUUUUGCUUAAAUGUGUACUGAUGUCUAAUUAAUAUAAUUAUUAUGAUCCAGUAUUUUUUAAAUGAUCAGAAAGAUCAGAAAAUGCUCAGAUCAUCUAUCGGAGACAUCAGGGAUCACUACAUUUCCAUUUAAUAUUAACUGAUAUAUAUGUCUGCUGAUCAAGGGGGUCUCAAUGGGGAUGGUCUCUCCAUAGAUCUCUGUACUUUUCUCCGUAAUCCUUCCAUAACUCUGAGACUAUAUCCAGGCAAAAUAGUGAUAAAACUUUCCAUUUUUUUAGAUGUGCAAGUUGAAAUAGAAAGAGGGGAAUAUGUUACUAUUGUUAUAUUAUUAACUAGCCAGAUUUACGGUGAUGUUCCAAAGAGUAUACACUCACUCCAUUAGACAUCAAGACAUGGUUAAGGAGCUGUCAUAUAUUUUUACAUAAGGCCAUAAGUAUGGAUAUAAUCUCAGAGUUUGAGAGUCCCACCUUUUUUGUUUUACUUUUGUAAUUUUAUGGUUACGUUUAUUAAAAUUUAAUGUA
rnacentral:lncRNA from 1 species